AAACAAACAAAACAAACAAAACAAACAAAACAAACAAAACAAACAAAACAAACAAAACAAACAAAACAAACAAAACAAACAAAACAAACAAAACAAACAAAACAAACAAAACAAACAAACAACAAACAAACAACAAACAAACAACAAACAAACAACAAACAAACAACAAACAAACAACAAACAAACAACAAACAAACAACAAACAAACAACAAACAAACAACAAACAAACAAACAAACAAACAAACAAACAAACAAACAAACAAACAAACAAACAAACAAACAAACAAACAAACAAACAAACAAACAAACAAACAAACAAACACAAC